GAAAAAUCAAUUAUCAGCUACAAGAGAACACAUCCAGGCUGUUCUCAAGAUGGCAUGAUAGUUACCAAUAAACGUGGGAUGGAGUUGUGCAUUAAUCCAUCUGGAGAGCAGGCCCAGCGUAUAAUGAAAAGGCUGGAAUCUUCAUCCAUAUUGUUGGUGGACAUAAGUUAGAUGAGAAAUAUCUCAAGACCAGAAAGUAAAAAUGGAUAAGGAGAGAGGUUGAUGAAAUGACAUUGGAAUGAAAUAAAAAAAUUGUCAUUUA